rnacentral:tRNA from 1 species
GCCCAAGUAGUAUAGUGGUUUGCACCACGUUGUGGCCGUGGUGACACAGGUCCGAUUCCUGUCGUGGGCA